AGUGAACGCUGGCGGUAGGCCUAACACAUGCAAGUCGAACGGCAGCACAGUAAGAGCUUGCUCUUACGGGUGGCGAGUGGCGGACGGGUGAGGAAUACAUCGGAAUCUACUUUUUCGUGGGGGAUAACGUAGGGAAACUUACGCUAAUACCGCAUACGACCUACGGGUGAAAGCAGGGGAUCUUCGGACCUUGCGCGAUUGAAUGAGCCGAUGUCGGAUUAGCUAGUUGGCGGGGUAAAGGCCCACCAAGGCGACGAUCCGUAGCUUGUCUGAGAGGAUGAUCAGCCACACUGGAACUGAGACACGGUCCAGACUCCUACGGGAGGCAGCAGUGGGGAAUAUUGCACAAUGGGCGCAAGCCUGAUCCAGCCACACCGCGUGGGUGAAGAAGGCCUUCGGGUUGUAAAGCCCUUUUGUUGGGAAAGAAAAGCAGCAGGUUAAUACCCGGAUGUUCUGACGGUACCCAAAGAAUAAGCACCGGCUAACUUCGUG
rnacentral:rRNA from 1 species